AAAUGUUUACCAUAGUAAAAUUGGGCUUAAUUUCGGCUUAAGAUGGACUGAAAAUCAGUAACAUUUG
rnacentral:tRNA from 1 species